rnacentral:tRNA from 3 species
GCUGAAAUAGUUCAAUUGGUUAGAACAUGCCAUUCAUGACGGUAAAACAAAGGUUCAAAUCCUUUUUUCGGCU